GUGCCAGCAGCCGCGGUAAUACAGAGGUGGCAAGCGUUGUUCGGAAUUACUGGGCGUAAAGGGCGCGUAGGCGGUCGCCUAAGUCGGACGUGAAAUCCCCAAGCUUAACUUGGGAACUGCGUCCGAUACUGGGUGACUUGAGUUCGGGAGAGGAAUGUGGAAUUCCAGGUGUAGCGGUGAAAUGCGUAGAUAUCUGGAGGAACACCGGUGGCGAAGGCGGCAUUCUGGACCGAAACUGACGCUGAGGCGCGAAAGCCAGGGGAGCAAACGGGAUUAGAUACCCCCGUAGUCC
rnacentral:rRNA from 1 species